AUACCUUUCUCGGCCUUUUGGCUAAGAUCAAGUGUAGUAUCUGUUCUUAUCAGUUUAAUAUCUGAUAUGUGGACCAAUGGUCCACACGAUAUUAAAUUUAUUUUUUAAGGGGGAGAUUCCAUCACAAUAGCUUGCUAUUGGGUCUCUCAAGUGUCGCUUUUGUGUUGCACUAUUGCAAUUGCCUGGCACACCCCAC
rnacentral:snRNA from 1 species